UACGGUUCAUCAGUCCAACAGAAUCUACAAAUGACUCAGAAACUUUCUACUAAGCUUACAUUUAUUUGUAUUGAUUUUUGUGAGGAAUAGCAUAACCAGACAACUCAAAUUUAAUUUUUUACAAGCUGCAAGGGCAUGGUGCUUGUAUUGAAUGGAUGCAGAUCUCUUUGUCAAGCAUGUAUUGAACACCUGCUGUAUGCCGGCACCUUGGGAAAUAACAUGAUCUCAGGAAAAAGGGUCCAGCACUGCAGCUCUCCUACUUUGAUCAGCUGCCAGCGUGACCAGGUUUGGAAAUGCGGUGUCCAGGGUGUGCACCAUACGGCUGCUGCCCAGCCCUUGGAGAGCAUAAACUCAGCAUGAGCAACAAAUUACAGGGCAAAGUGUAAAAGGAAAAGCCCUUUAUUUGUAAGAAAGAAAAGAAGCGGAGGCCAGAAAGCCGCCCAGCAAGACGUGAGUAGGGCUUUGGAAAGCGGAGUCCCUGUGGGUGCUUGUUCCUUAGCUCUUUUUCAAUCACGCUUUGGGGACCCCCCACCCCGGUCAGCCUCUGGAAGUUGUCACGAC
rnacentral:lncRNA from 1 species